rnacentral:ribozyme from 1 species
UGCCUAGCAACUCCUAUCCCUACCUCCUCGUGAUACUGGCCGGGGUACGAGUAACCUUAGGGAAGAUCGAGUAACCAACCCCGGUGGGAACUGUGGUCAUAUGCUGAUAGGGAAGG